rnacentral:rRNA from 1 species
UGCAAGUCGAACGCUUCUUUUUCCAUCGGAGCUUGCUCCACCGGAAAAAGAGGAGUGGCGAACGGGUGAGUAACACGUGGGUAACCUGCCCAUCAGAAGGGGAUAACACUUGGAAACAGGUGCUAAUACCGUAUAACAAUCGAAACCGCAUGGUUUUGAUUUGAAAGGCGCUUUCGGGUGUCGCUGAUGGAUGGACCCGCGGUGCAUUAGCUAGUUGGUGAGGUAACGGCUCACCAAGGCGACGAUGCAUAGCCGACCUGAGAGGGUGAUCGGCCACAUUGGGACUGAGACACGGCCCAAACUCCUACGGGAGGCAGCAGUAGGGAAUCUUCGGCAAUGGACGAAAGUCUGACCGAGCAACGCCGCGUGAGUGAAGAAGGUUUUCGGAUCGUAAAACUCUGUUGUUAGAGAAGAACAAGGAUGAGAGUAACUGUUCAUCCCUUGACGGUAUCUAACCAGAAAGCCACGGCUAACUACGUGCCAGCAGCCGCGGUAAUACGUAGGUGGCAAGCGUUGUCCGGAUUUAUUGGGCGUAAAGCGAGCGCAGGCGGUUUCUUAAGUCUGAUGUGAAAGCCCCCGGCUCAACCGGGGAGGGUCAUUGGAAACUGGGAGACUUGAGUGCAGAAGAGGAGAGUGGAAUUCCAUGUGUAGCGGUGAAAUGCGUAGAUAUAUGGAGGAACACCAGUGGCGAAGGCGGCUCUCUGGUCUGUAACUGACGCUGAGGCUCGAAAGCGUGGGGAGCAAACAGGAUUAGAUACCCUGGUAGUCCACGCCGUAAACGAUGAGUGCUAAGUGUUGGAGGGUUUCCGCCCUUCAGUGCUGCAGCUAACGCAUUAAGCACUCCGCCUGGGGAGUACGACCGCAAGGUUGAAACUCAAAGGAAUUGACGGGGGCCCGCACAAGCGGUGGAGCAUGUGGUUUAAUUCGAAGCAACGCGAAGAACCUUACCAGGUCUUGACAUCCUUUGACCACUCUAGAGAUAGAGCUUCCCCUUCGGGGGCAAAGUGACAGGUGGUGCAUGGUUGUCGUCAGCUCGUGUCGUGAGAUGUUGGGUUAAGUCCCGCAACGAGCGCAACCCUUA